UACGAGGGGGGCGAGCGUUGUUCGGAAUUAUUGGGCGUAAAGAGCUCGUAGGCGGUUCGGCAAGUCACGUGUGAAAUCUCCACGCUCAACGUGGAGGCGCCACGUGAGACUGCUGUGACUCGAGUCCGGUAGGGGAGCGUGGAAUUCCCGGUGUAGCGGUGAAAUGCGCAGAGAUCGGGAGGAACACCCGUAGCGAAGGCGGCGCUCUGGGCCGGUACUGACGCUGAGGAGCGAAAGCGUGGGGAGCAAACAGG
rnacentral:rRNA from 1 species